rnacentral:lncRNA from 1 species
UUUGCUCUAUUCUCAUUACACGACAAUGAGCAAAGAGGGGCAGCUGUAAUGGCUGAUUUUUUGCCGGGGCCCAUACAAAAACCAAAAAACAAAAUAAACCAAAAUUAAAGUCCAAUGUCCAUAAUACCCAAGCCCAAAAUCCAAAAUAACAAGACCCAACAAAAUACGGCCCAAAUGACCCAAAAAAAACCCCCAAACCCUAGCCUGCUGCCUACUGCAGACACCAGCAGCUUCCGCCCAGCCUCCAUGCUCCACAACGGCCUCCACGCUCACGAACGGUUUCCCCACGCCAUGCACACCUACAACAAACGAAAACCACAACAGCAAAUGACGGCAAACCGAAUUACAGCAAUCAAAUAGAGGAGAAAAAUGGAAAAAUUGUAAAUAUUAUAUUUCAUUUUUGGCUAUAAAAAGCCAUUGUAAAUAUUGAUUUUGAGGAUACACGGAUUGAAAAAAAAACAAUUAGAAUUGAAAAGGUGAUUCAAGUUUUCAGUUUUUUUUUUGUUUUCAGAUUUCGUUUUUUUAAUAUUUUUUCUCUUCUAUUCUUUUCUCUCAUAUUUCACAUGAAGAGAAUAAAGGAAAAGAGUACUUGCCUUUGGCCUUUGAUCGCAUCUCUUUUGCUCAUGGUCGGCCACCAAGUUUGAUGGUGGUUCAGCAGUGACUUUGAGAGCCCUAACAUUAGAGAUUUGAUUUGCUGUUUGCAAAAAUGGCAGUGCCAUUCAUUUUUUUUUCUUUAAUUUUGAUUGCAAAGAAACAACACCGUUUCAAGGGGAAAUGUUUGGUUAUUUGCUGCAGAUGGUUAAUUUAUGCGAUUAAUCCCUCCCCUUCGCGUUGAUUUUCAAUUGGAUCCUAUUUGUGUUUUAUUUGUUUUUUAAAUUUUUCCUAAAAUCUGUGUGCUAUUUUAAUUUAGCCCGCGUUUAAGCUUUAUGUUUUCGGACCAGGAUUAUUCCCAACUUUAGUCCCUUAGCAUUUACGCGCAUUAUGCAUUAGCCCUCUGUUUAAUUUCAAAAUUUAUAAAUUAUCCCCUUUCAUUUUAAAUUUAUUUCAAUUAGGAUUUUUGUUUAUAUGAUUUAUUAUUUUUGAGGAGACUCAUUUAAUAUAUUUUUUAUGUGUCAGAAUUGUUUUAAUAAUUUUUAUUUUUGUUUAAAUAAAUCUUUGUUUUGAAAUCUUUAUACUAUUUUACAGUACGUAUAGAAUUUGAUUUAAAUAUUCAUGUUGAGCUUUCUAUUUGAAAUGCUUAUUAUUUUAAAAUUUACUUAAUAUUCUUAUAUAUGUGUUAAUUUAAAAAAAAAGAAAUAAUUUUGUUUUAUUUUUAUUUGUACAGUUAUUUUGGAGUUGAUUUUAUUAUAUUAUUUUUAACAUUUUUUUAUAAUUUUUCGACUAAAUAUUUCCGGAUAUGUUUGUACAUAUAUUAUUUUAAUGGGCUUUUUUUUAUUUUAAAAUACUUAUUGUUUUAAAAUUCAUUAAAUUAUGUGUGUAAAGUUACUUGGGAGCUGCAUUUUUUUUUGUGUUAAUAAAAUUAUUAUUUUGAAAUUCCUCAUUAUGUCAUAUUAUUUUAAUAUAUUAUGUAGUAUCUUAUUUUAAGUGUUUUUAUGUAUAACGGUACGUAUAUAAUUUAUAGAUUAACUUAAUUUUAUAUAUAUUAUUAAUCUCAUGCUAUUUUUUACAAACAAUUAUUCCUAAAUCUAUUUAUGUAUGCAUGUUUUUUUAAUCACUAUACCUUAUCAUGUAUUUUUAUUAUUCUUUCAUAUUUUAUAUAUUAUUUAAGUUAUCAUGUACAUAGUCAAUUUUUGAAUGAAUUUGUGUUUAAAAUAGUUUGCAUAUAAUUCAAUUCAAACUUUUAUUCUAUAAUAUCUAUUUCAAUAAUUAUAUAUCCCUAGUCUUUGUGCAAAUUUGUCAACUUAUCUAUUAUAUAUAUUAUGUAUUCAUUAAUUCAUCAUUAUUUUGAAAAUGUCUUAUACCACAAUUGACUUCUAAUUUCCAUUUUAUUUUGUACAUGUUUUGUGGAUCGUUUCAUAUUGUGCCAUAUUUAUUGUUGUUGUAUAUUAUUUAGUCAUUGUUUUAUCAAUUUUUCUCCAUCCAUUAUUAAGAAUUUGGUUACAUUUCACUUAGAAUAAUUGUACUUAAUUGUUGGAUUUAUUAGUUGUGAUUUAUUGUACUUUAUGUGUGCACAUUAUUUCGUGUUUAUUCAUUUCUUUUUACGAAUGUUUUCUUGUAAUACCUCAAAUGUUCCAUCUCAUUUUAAAACAAAUAAAUGUGUUUUGAGCGAAUUUUCAAUUUUCCUUAUUAUUCAAAAAUUCUGAAAUAAGGCAAUAUCCAAUAUUUGGGUAUUUGAGAAAUCGUGCUCAAUCGUGCUGGGUAUGAUUUUUUCGGUGAACUAAAUAUUUGGAUAACCUUUUAUAAUUUUAGUGUACGAGUUUUUGAAAGUCAAAAGUCGAUCGUAUUUUUGAAGGUAUAAAGGAUCGUAUCCAAUCAUGCUGGGUAUGAUGCUGCAUAUCUUUGAAAUGAGAGAAUUUUGACAGUUAACUUGAACUAUUCACACAUUUUAAAGAAUCAUGCUUUGAAAGAUCUUUUUUCUUAAAAUCUUUGAUAUAAGGAUAGCAUCGAAUCAAUUUGGUACCAAUUUUUGGGCGUAAUGAGGCUGCUUAUCCUUCCUCAUGAAUAACCGACUCCCGAACCCAUUUGUUUUUUAUUUUACGUGAACCAAAAUUGUCUUUAAUGGAACAAAACAUUUUAAUAGGUGGCCCAAUCACACCUAAACCGACAGACUGGUGGCGACUCCACAUUUUUGUUUUAAAAAGUCGAUUCUCAUUUUUCCUAACUCUAAAAAAGGGGUUCGACAGCUUGGCGACUCCACUGGGGAUUGAACAAAGAGGGUCAGGCCAUAAAAUUGAUUAUUUGUUUUCCUUUUGUCAAAGAAUUGAAAUUUUGUCUUGAAAAUCAUGAUUCUUUUAAUUGCAUUUGUUUGCAUGAUUAUUGUGGUUCGAGUCUUGUAAAAUAAUAUGACAUUACAUUGCAUGACCUCUGUGGUUAUACCUGUUAAGUGGGAGUAAGAAACUAUGCUUUUGUGAGGUUUUCACCUCCGCAUGAGCUAGUGGAUUGCUUCCGGGAUACAUCCGUACCUAUGAUUUCGUAAGGUUUUUAUCUCUGCAUGGUCAUAGGGAAAUGUAUUCCCCUGAACCGAACUCGAUUCAUAUGAGCCUAUAAUGGGUAAGAAUUGAGGAAUCUGCUAGUUCAGGUACCCUUUCUCUAAAACCAAACCACAUAUAGUGAAUCUUGAGAAUCCACCUUAAGUAGAACCUUGCCCAAAUUUAGUGGUCACCCAAAUAGGUACUUUAUUUGAUAUUUAUUUCACUUGUACUAACGUGUUUUGUUUUUUUUUUGUUUAUAACUGCAUUGCAUUACAUCAUCAUAGAAAGCAGGUGUUGAUUCAUAUUUGAUUGCUAAAUAGAAUAGUUUGUCAUAAGAAAAUGAAUUUCCUGAUAAAGUGGAUUAUAAUACGGUUGUCUAAAUAGACGGAAGAAGGCUGACAGUUCGUGGAGAAAAACAAGUCUCUACUUGAAGAUUCAAGCUGAUAAAGAUUGUUUGAAAGCCGUCGCGUCUCGAUUUUCUUAACAGAGCUAAUCAAUGUCAUGAGGAUAAUAAGUCGUGGCCUGGAUCAAGCAAAGAAGGGCUAGUGGAGGCAUUUAUUGGAGGCUUGCGAGAUUUGGAUUUCACGAAGAAAAGGGAUUGGUGUUUUCACCUGGAAUAUGAAAGCAAUGCCGUAUAUGUAAUCUGUUUUAUGUAAAGGAAUUUGUUUUCUAGAAAAGUUGUUCUAAUGGAAUUAAAUUCAAAAUCAACACCUCUCUUUCUUUUGCAUUCAUCCCAUGCAUUUGCAUUGCAUUGCAUCAUUUCAUCAUUUGCAUUAAAUUUUCAUAAAAGGGGUCCCUAAUUAGUUGAAAUCAUUUCAGUUAAUCUGGGAACCAAUAAAAACUUACCAAUCAAGCGUCGUUACGGUACCUGUGCUAAGACAAAAGAUAUGGAUCAAAGGUUGAAAAGACUUGAACAACUUCAAAGAGAGAUGCAAGACCAGUUACAAAUACAGAUGCAAGAGCAAGUGGCGAAGAUUAGGCAAGAUAUGAGGGAUCUGGUGCUAGAGUCUCAAAGGAAUAUGUUGAACCAGUUGUCUCAAUUGCUGACAAAGGGGCUUGAAGAAAGGAAAAGUUUCAUGAUCAAUAUUGGGAAGGACAAUGAGGAGCCUCUCUAUUCUCCGGGUUUCACCCCGAUAAAUACUCAGCCGCAAGGUGUACCUAUUGUCAAAAUUCAGCAAUAUCAGGCCGGUACCUCUGCACUGGUAGAUUACCCGACAGGCUCAGACUCCAAGCCGGGGGGCAACCCAACCAAUCUUGAAGUUCUUGAUUUAGAUGAAAUGGAAAAAGCAGAGAGGGAAUUGCCAAGACAACUUGAGGAUCGGUAUAGGUGGUUGGAGGAAAAAUUGAAAGCAAUGGAGAAUGUUGACCUCUACUAUGGGAUUGAUGCUAAGGAUCUGAGUUUGGUUCCCGAUCUAGUACUCCCACCAAAAUUUAAAACUCCAGAGUUUGAAAAGUACAAUGGUGUAAUACCCCCUACCCGUAUUCAUUGCCGGAAUACGGUACGAGGUAUUACCGGAGUUUACGAAUUUAUUUAUUUAUUUUUUUAGGAAAACUCAAUAUAAUCCCUUUACAGAUAUCUAACCUUCCCUGCAAUAUUAUAUCGAGACCAAUCCAAAUCAACCAAUCCAAUUCAACAUAUUUUCAAGAUAAAUUCAUGCAUAUUUAUAAAAUAACGUCAUCACAUACCCAAAACCAGGUUUGUUAACCAUACCAAUGGCUAACUCUACAUUCAUUUCACAGAAUCAUUUACUUUAUUAGCUUAUACAUGCCACUGAUUUGCAAAAUAAAGUUUCUUUAUAUACCGAAGUCCUGAGGUUGAUAGUGUGAUGUGUCUCUGACCAAAUCCGACCUCCGAGCUCUUAACACCACAAAACAGGGAAAAAGGAAACGGGGUAAGCACUUUGUGCUUAGUAAGCUCAUGUAACAAGAAUUAUACUUACCUAAUAUUUUCAAUACAAUACAAUAAACAUUCCUAUAUCCAUUCAAUCCAUUAUUAUCCUAAUAUGCACAAUCCAACAUUCAAGUUAGUACAAUAAUUUCCAUGUACCAAUAAUAUAUACUAUGAUUGAUGUGCUCAUCAAUACCAUGAUUUCCAUUUCCUUGUUAUUUUUCCAUAUUUAUCCCAUUGAAUUUCUUGGAAUUUUCGAUGGAUUUUCAGAGAUACACUUUUAGUGUACAUUUCCGGGUCCGUUAAUUCAUAUUCAUGUGCGCACAUAUCCAUUUCAGAGAGCACACUCCUGCGAACCUCAACCGUGCAGCGGGAUUACCAGUCCAGGCUAAAUCCCCUGCAAUAUAAACUCAUAGAGUGUUGUCGGGAUUACCAGUCCAGUCUAAAUCCCCUGCAACGACAAUUACUCUAAUGAGCUUGGAUCUGAAUUACCAGUCCAGGCUAAAUUCAGACCCCAAUUCGGAUUACCCGUCCAGGCUAAAUCCAUUUUACACAUAUUCUUCUGGAGGGCUAUAUCAGGAUAGGAUCACCCAUCCGGGCUAGAUCCUUUUUACCGUCAAUUCCUUUUCAGAGAUCCAUCGAAUUUUCCUUUCAUUCAACCGGGAUUUCUUCUCCUUUUAUCAAAUAUAUCAAUGUUUCAUAAAUUUUCAUACAAUGAACAUUCAAAUCAUACUCACAUAAAUAACAUACAAUCUCAAGCAUUUAAGAAUAUAAUUCAAGUUACAUGAACUUACCUUGAUACUUGUUUGUAAACAAAAAAAAAUCUACUAAUCUCGAACUUUUUCCUUUCCUCGAUCUAGCUUCGUAUUUGAAUCUUCUGGAUCUAAGUAAAUAAAUUUAAUUAUCAAUUUAAUACAUUUCAUGUUCAUAUGCAACAUUCUCUAUAAUUCAACUAUUAUUUAUAGUUCAUUCAAAGCUGUCUACUUGAGUCAUAGUCACUAAAUUAUUUUUAUCUUGAGAUACAGAACUCAAAAUUAGGAUCCGAUAAUUUUCCCUGAAACUAGACUCAUAUAUAUUCUUACCAUAAAAUUUUCAGAAUUUUUUGUUUAUCCAAUCAGUACAGUUUAUUCUUUAAAGUCACCCCUGUUCUGCUGUCGACAGUUCUGACCCUUCUUCACUAAAAAUUAAUUAUCUCUUCAUAAAGAAUUCAAAUGAUGUUAUCAUUUGUUUCUAUUAAAAAUAGACUCAUUAAGGAUUCUGUACAUAUAAAUUUAAGUCCCUAAUUGUUUUUCUUCAAUUUUUUAUGAAUUUUCAAAGUCAGAAUAGGGGAACCCGAAUUCAUUCUGCCUUGUCUCACAAAAUUUAUUAUAUCUAAAAAUUUACAAAUCCAUUGCUUAUAAUAUUUCUUGUAUGAGAAACUAGACUCAAUAAGCUUUAAUUAAAUAUUUUUUUCAUAUUCUAAUUCGAAUUUAUGGUGAUUUUUCAAAGUUAGUCUACUGCUGCUGUCCAAACUGUUUUUGUGCAAGCUGUUUAUUACCAUUUUUUCCCUAAGCUUUUAAUAAAUGAUAAUUUCGUCCCUACUCAAUUAGCCUCUCAAUUGAACUGAUUUUUCUCAAUUAAUAUUUUAUUCUAUCACCUUAAACUAGUUUACAACCUUUAGGAAUCAGAAUUUCAGCAAUAGACUUUAAUUCCAAGUAUUUUCACAAUUAGGUCCUAAAAAUCAAUUUCUAUUGAAAUUACCUAAUAAAAUCAUCUCAUAAACAAAUUAAAGCUUUAAUUUCAUUCUAUUUCAUCAUAAAAUUACAGAAAUCAACCAUGGUGGCUUUCAAUUUCAUCCAUGAAAUCAAAAACUAAUGAAUUUAAUAGUAUGACCUAGUUGUAAAGGUCUUAGAAACACAAAAAUUACAAGAAAAAGUCAAGGAUUAACUCACUUGGUGCAAAAAUUAUGAAAUACCAGCUUAUAGAACCGUCCUAUGGUGUUUUUAGCUGCUGGAAUUGAAGAGAAAUGAAGAGAAAUCUAGAUAUUUCCUAUUUAGUCCUAGCUUUAUUUAGUUAAUUUUGCAAUAUUCCAAUUUUACCCUUAAUUUAUCAAUUUUUCUGCUGAUUUCAUACCCUUGCCGUCCAGCCCAAAUAACUUUUGGGUCUAAUUCCCUUUUAAAUCCUUUCUCAUUAGACUCUUAAGCUAUUUAAUCAUUCUAGCAACUUUUACACCUAUUACAAUUUAGUCCUUUUCAUUUAAUUGACUACCCAAACAUUAAAAUUUCCUAACGAAAUUUUAGUACCACACUAAUAAAAUUUCAUAAAUAUUUAUAAAAUUAUAUUCGACUCGGUUUUACAAGAUAGAGGUCCCAACAUAUUGUUUUUACCCAAUUUCUUCAAUAAUUUCUUUUUCUAACUAACCACUAAAUCGGUAAAAUUUUUCUAUCAAUAUUUUCAUACGAUUUUCCUAUCAUAUCAAUUUUCGUGCAAAAAUAUUGAAAUAAAUUUCUCUUUAAAUCGGAUUUGUGGUUACGAAACCACUAUUCUAAUAACCUUGAAUUUAGGCCAUUACAAAUGGGACUAGUUGUCCUGAAGCUCACGUCACAAUGUUCUGUCGAAGGAUGACAGGAUAUGUUAAUAAUGACCAACUAUUAAUCCAUUGCUUCCAAGACAGUCUGAUCGAGUCAGCAGCUAAAUGGUAUAAUCAAUUGAGUCGUGCUAAAAUCAAAUCAUGGAAAGACUUAGCACAAGCCUUCAUGAAGCAGUAUAGUCUUGUAACAGACAUGGCACCCGAUAGAAUUACCCUGCAAAAUAUGGAAAAGAAGCAAAAUGAGAGCUUCAGGCAAUAUGCUCAAAGAUGGAGAGAGGUAGCAACACAAGUCCAACCGCUUCUUCUGGAAAAAGAGAUUACGAUGCUUUUCAUCAAUAUUUUGAAGGCCCCAUUCAUUGACUAUAUGUUGGUAAGUGCUACUCUAAGUUUUUCAGAUAUAGUAGUAUCUGGUGAGAUGAUUGAAAGCGCGGCAAGAAAUGGACAGAUAGAUGUGGGAGAGAGCGUUAAACGGUCGACCCUAAUGAUCAAGGAAAAUAAAGUGAACAUCGUGAGCAUGCCUUCUAAAUUGGUCAACAUAGACCUGUUGAGGGUUGUAAUCACUAGUUAUCAAGGGGAAUUGGAAUGACUUAUCCAAAGAGAGGUCCAGGGAAUAAAAGUUUCCAAACCCUUAUGUACUUGGGAGUGUUUUAAACAAUGGGACUAUGGAAGAGAUCCUUGUAUUUUUAGAGUUGAUUUAGAGUAAUAUUCAAAACACGCUUGUUGCUUUAAGCCUAGGGGCAAUAAGAAUCCUUUUGUGAAAUAGGCUUGUGUCCAAAAUUUUUUAUUUCAAUAAAAUGCAUUAUUUUUGAAUAAAUAUUCUUUCAUUCUUUAUAUAUUCUUUUGUUCUUUGGACUAUUUUUUUUACAAUAUGCUUUCAUUCUUCAUUCAUGAUCAUACCAUACAAAUAAUUAUCCUUAGAAUAAUUUAUUUUUUGGAAUUUUCCUUUGUACCUACAAUAGGUCCCCAGAUAUCAAUGACAUGAGCAACGCUGUAACUGACUCCCUUUUGGGGUGAGAUAUGUGUUUAAGCGGAUCUCAGGACUUUGAAGAUGACAGAGAUUGUGAUUUAUUUUUUGAUUUGUUAAGGACGAUAGAAUAAGAUGAAAAGCAGAUCCCACUUUACGAAGGGUCAAUGGACACUGUGAGCAAGGGGCAAAGAUCGAAACCUGAGUCAUCACAAAGACAAAAUAAAUCAUCAUUGCGUUAUUCCAAGAAUUCGAAGAUGUUUUCGCAUGAUCAUGUCGAGAUAUACCUAAGAUAUUAGGAUCUGUGGAUGAUACAAAAUGUCUAUACAAUUCUAGAAGGACACAUGUUAAUGGUAGCCACGCUAAUCAUGAGGUUUGGGUAUUGAUAAUCCACCAUGGAAGGGGAUGGCAUUAGUUAAACUGUAUUUAGGGAGACAAGCCACAUUCAUUUCUUCACAGACUUUCUCUAUAUGGGGCAUGGAUGUUGUCAGGCCAUUCUCGUCUAAUACACAUUGAUUCAUCUUGGCAGUUAUUGAUUACUUCAUGAAGAGGGUGAAGGUUGCUUCAUAUGCCAAUAUUACAAGGUCAACAGUCAUCAAAUUCUAAAAAAAAAAAGGUUGUUGACAAGUAAUGUCAGAAAGGAUCACUUUCAAAUACAACUGCACAAUGUCAAAAGUUUGCAGUCUGUUCAAAGAUCAGACACCAUAUUACCGUGUAAUAAAGGCAUCUAAAAAGAAAAACAAAAGUUCAAAAAUAGAAAAGAAAAGGGAAAGCAGUGAAGCCAUAAAACAAAGGUCAUAGUGAAAGACGACCGAGCCUUGUAAGGAUUGGUAUAAAGAAGUUAUCAUUUACCCUCUACACUUAUCGAACGGGGGCCGGGACCUUCACCGGGGCAACACAUUGAUUUAUAGGACUGAAACAGUUUUUGAAAACGAGAUUUCUUUUCUUCGAGUCUUGGCAGAACUAAAGUUAGAUGAAUCGGAAUGGGUCCAAUCCUGAUAUGAUCAGUCAAAUUUAAAGGAUAUCCGUCAUAGUGAGAUGAUGCGGGUUUAUGACAGAAAGGUUUAUCCUUGAGAAUUCCAUAAGGGGAGCUUGAUAUUGAAGAAGAUCUUUCCUAUACAAAAGGACUUCAAAGGAAGAAAUAUGCCAAGCUAAGAGAGAUCUUAUGUAAAGGAGGCCUAUUUUGGAGGAGCAUUGAUAUUGACCAAAAAGAUUUGCCUAGUUCGGAGUUCAAAAUGCUGUCAAAGAGUAUUCUACCUAAAAUGGGAGAGGCCAAGGUGAAAACCCGCAAAGGUCACCUUGAGAACUUAAAAAAUAAAAAUAAAAAAAGAGAAAGAAAUAAAAAGAGAAAAUAAAAAAGAAAGAAAGAAAGAAUCAAUCAAAAAAAAAAGAAGAAAGAAAAGGAGAGGCCAAGGCGAAAACCCGCAAAGGGCGCUUUGAGACCAAAGGGGAUUUGAGUUGAAAACCCGAAAAAGGGCGGCUCAAAUUUGGAUCAAAAUGGGAUAUACAGUAGUCUUUCCAUACAUGAAUUAACAAUGAAGGAAGUAUGUUAUGUCUUGGGGAAUUGACAAAGUACUCCGGAUCCCCUAAACACAGAUUGAGCUCAGAAUGGUCCUCAAGAAGUUGGUAUAGAGAAGCUCAAGUUGCGAUAUCUGGAGCACCUAGCUUUUUAUUUUUACCCAUUUUUUUACUAUCUUUGAUUACCUGAUUCUUUUCAAGGCACAUCCAAGUAAAUUCCUUUCUUGAUUGCAUUUGCUUAUUUGUUUCGAGCUAUGUUCUCAAUUAAUUCCUUCCUUGUCCAUGGUUAUGAUCUUUUUUCAAGCAUUUUGCAUUGAAAUAACGAUUUCUGGGCUAAUAAUACUUUCAUAAAAGGAGUUUCGCAUAUUACUUUGGGAAGUUUCUAAAUAAUACAGGAGCUUGAAACUAGAUUAUUGUUUAAAACUCACCAAGCUUAAGGGUUGGAAAUAUUUAAGCCCAAAUUGAGAUUAUCUCUUUGGAUUUUCUAUCAAAGAUAUUAAUUGGUGUUAUAAUCCCGGCAAAGAACGAGUAAUGGGGUUAUUCUUGAGAAAAGAAAAAUGAUAUUCUAUAUUCCUACAGAUAUCAGACAUAUACGUCUGCUCAUUACACCCAGAGAAUGGUGUAACAGAUUCAAUUGAUUGAAGAUGAUGCAAAUCCUAUACCUCUGAGUUGCCACAGGAUGGAAGAAAUCAAAUGAUUAUUCCCCUGAGGUUGCAGUGGGAAGUUCAAACUUUAUGUCCCAGAAGUUACAGUGUAAGGGACUCUGAAAUUACAGUGGGGCAAGCUUGCUGAACAGAAUGUGAUUGUUUCUUUGGGUCUUCUGCAAAAAAUACCAGCCAAACAAGAUGGCAGCAUAAUAAAUUAGUGAUAGUGUUCUGAUGAACAACAAGCGAUGAUACCUUAAGCAUUUAAAAAAAAAGAGAUCAUUCAAAAAAAAGAUCAUUUUCAUUCAUAUAUCAUUCAUAACACGUUAGGAGCAUUUGAUUCAUUUCGAUCAUAGCAUCCUAAUUAUUUGACACCAGCAUCACAUCUAAUUAGGAGUAUUUGAUUCAUUUUGAUCAUAGCAUCCUAAUUAUUUGACAUAAGCAUCACAUCUAGUUAGGAGCAUUUGAUUCAUUUCGAUCAUAGCAUCCUAAUUAUUUAACAUCAGCAUCACAUCUAGUUAGGAGUAUUUGAUCGUAGCAUCCUAAUUAUUUGGGCAUAAACAUGAUACAUGAAAUCGAGUCUACAAGACAAGUCCAAGAGGAUGGUGUAGUAACAUCGGUGAAGUCAGACUUAUAUCCCUGAAGUUACAGUAGAGUAGGUUGAAGUGACAAGUCUUAUCUCUCUGAAGUUGCAGUGGAGCAGGCUCAAUAUACAAGUCUUAUCUUCCUAAGGUAGCAAGGAAGCAGAUUGAAGGUUGAAGAUCUUAUCUCCCUAGGAAAUAGUUGGGCAGAUCAAAGAUGGCGAAUCUUAUCUCCAUGUAUCGGCAAUGGAGCAGAUUUUAGCCACCAGCCUUAUCUUUCUGAAGUAGCAAGGGAGCAGGUUGGCGAUUGUAGUCUUAUCUUCUUGAGGUAGCAAGGAAGCAGACUGAAGAUUGAAUAUCUUAUCUCCAUGUACCGGUAAUGGAGCAGAUUUUAGCCAUUGACCUUAUCUCUCUGAGGUAGCAAGAGAGCAGGUUGAAGAUGAUAGUCUUAUCCUCUUGAGGCAGCAAGGAAGCAGACUGAAGAUUGCAGGUCUUAUUUCCCUAAGCAGUAGUGGAAUAAACCAAAGACGACAAAUCUUAUCUCCAUGUACCGGCAAUAGAGUAGAUUUAAGUCCCCAGCCUUAUCUCUCUGAAGUUGCAGUGGGGUAGGCUCGAUAUACAAGUCUCUAUCUCCCUGAGGUUGUAGUGGAGCAGACUGAAGAUUGGAGGCAAAUCUUAUCUUCAUGUAUCGACAAUGGAGCAGAUUUAAGCCCCAAGCCUUAUCUCUCUGAGGUAGCAAGAGAGCAGGUUGAAGAUUGAAGUCUUAUCGUCCUGAGGUAGCAAGGAAGCAGACUGAAUAUUGGAGGCAAAUCUUAUCUCCAUGUAUCGACAAUAGAGCAGAUUUAAGCCUGAAGCCUUAUCUCUCUGAGGUAGCAAGAGAGCAGGUUAAAGAUUGAGUCUUAUCUUUCUGAAGUAGUAAGAAAGCAGACUAAAGAUUGAAGAUCUUAUCUCCCCUAAGCAGUAGUGGAGCAGAUCGAAGAUGGCGAAUCUUAUCUCCAUGUACUGGCAAUGGAGCAGAUUUUAGCCACUAGCCUUAUCUCUCUGAAGUAGCAAGAGAGCAGGUUGGCGAUUUUAGUCUUAUCUUCCUGAGGUACCAAGGAAGUAGACUGAAGACUAAAGAUCUAUUUCCCUAAAGCAGUUGCGGAGCAGAUUGAGAAUAGCAAAUCUUAUCUCCAUGUAUUGGCAAUGGAACAGAUUUAAGUCAAUAGUCCUAUUUCCUUACAGUCAGAAUGCAGCAAAACCAAGCAAAAUUGGCCCUAUUUGAAGUCUUUGCUCUACUCUCAUUACACGACAAUGAGCAAAGAGGGGCAGCUGUAAUGGCUGAUUUUUUGCCGGGGCCCAUACAAAAACCAAAAAACAAAAUAAACCAAAAUUAAAGUCCAAUGUCCAUAAUACCCAAGCCCAAAAUCCAAAAUAACAAGACUCAACAAAAUAUGGCCCAAAUGACCCAAAAAAAACCCCCAAACCCUAGCCUGCUGCCUAGUGCAGACACCAGCAGCUUCCGCCCAGCCUCCAUGCUCCACAACGGCCUCCACGCUCACGAACGGUUUCCCCACGCCAUGCACACCUACAACAAACGAAAACCACAACAGCAAAUGACGGCAAACCGAAUUACAGCAAUCAAAUAGAGGAGAAAAAGGGAAAAAUUGUAAAUAUUAUAUUUCAUUUUUGGCUAUAAAAAGCCAUUGUAAAUAUUGAUUUUGAGGAUACACGGAUUGAAAAAAAAACAAUUAGAAUUGAAAAGGUGAUUCAAGUUUUCAGUUUUUUUUUUUAGUUUUCAGAUUUCGUUUUUUUAAUAUUUUUUCUCUUCUCUUCUUUUCUCUCAUAUUUCACAUGAAGAGAAUAAAGGAAAAGAGUACUUGCCUUUGGCCUUUGAUCGCAUCUCUUUUGCUCAUGGUCGGCCACCAAGUUUGAUGGUGGUUCAGCAGUGACUUUGAGAGCCCUAACAUUAGAGAUUUGAUUUGCUGUUUGCAAAAAUGGCAGUGCCAUUCAGUUUUUUUU